rnacentral:misc_RNA from 1 species
GCAAACUUGGUCAUUUAGAGGAAGUAAAAGUCGUAACAAGGUUUCCGUAGGUGAACCUGCGGAAGGAUCAUUAUUGAAUAACCUUGAUGGGUUGUUGCUGGCCUCUCGAGGCAUGUGCACGCCUGUCUUGACUCUAUUCAUCCACCUGUGCACCUAUUGUAGUUCUGUACUCACUGGGGGUUCAAGAAAGCAGGCUAUUGUUCGGUUGAAACACACUGGAUUUGAGGAUUGCCAUUGUGGCUUUCUUCUGUUAGCUUUGCGAAAUUGUACUUCCUUGAACACAGGGCUAUGUCUUUUAUCAAAAACCAUGUAGUAUGUUGCCAGAAUGUAUUCAAUGGGCCUUUGUGCCUAUAAAACCUUAUACAACUUUCAGCAACGGAUCUCUUGGCUCUCGCAUCGAUGAAGAACGCAGC